rnacentral:rRNA from 1 species
ACGAACGCUGGCGGCGUGCCUAAUACAUGCAAGUAGAACGCUGAAGAGAGGAGCUUGCUCUUCUUGGAUGAGUUGCGAACGGGUGAGUAACGCGUAGGUAACCUGCCUUGUAGCGGGGGAUAACUAUUGGAAACGAUAGCUAAUACCGCAUAACAAUGGAUGACACAUGUCAUUUAUUUGAAAGGGGCAAUUGCUCCACUACAAGAUGGACCUGCGUUGUAUUAGCUAGUAGGUGAGGUAACGGCUCACCUAGGCGACGAUACAUAGCCGACCUGAGAGGGUGAUCGGCCACACUGGGACUGAGACACGGCCCAGACUCCUACGGGAGGCAGCAGUAGGGAAUCUUCGGCAAUGGGGGCAACCCUGACCGAGCAACGCCGCGUGAGUGAAGAAGGUUUUCGGAUCGUAAAGCUCUGUUGUAAGUCAAGAACGAGUGUGAGAGUGGAAAGUUCACACUGUGACGGUAGCUUACCAGAAAGGGACGGCUAACUACGUGCCAGCAGCCGCGGUAAUACGUAGGUCCCGAGCGUUGUCCGGAUUUAUUGGGCGUAAAGCGAGCGCAGGCGGUUUGAUAAGUCUGAAGUUAAAGGCUGUGGCUCAACCAUAGUUCGCUUUGGAAACUGUCAAACUUGAGUGCAGAAGGGGAGAGUGGAAUUCCAUGUGUAGCGGUGAAAUGCGUAGAUAUAUGGAGGAACACCGGUGGCGAAAGCGGCUCUCUGGUCUGUAACUGACGCUGAGGCUCGAAAGCGUGGGGAGCGAACAGGAUUAGAUACCCUGGUAGUCCACGCCGUAAACGAUGAGUGCUAGGUGUUGGAUCCUUUCCGGGAUUCAGUGCCGCAGCUAACGCAUUAAGCACUCCGCCUGGGGAGUACGACCGCAAGGUUGAAACUCAAAGGAAUUGACGGGGGCCCGCACAAGCGGUGGAGCAUGUGGUUUAAUUCGACGCAACGCGAAGAACCUUACCAAGUCUUGACAUCCUGCGACGGUGCUGGAAACAGUAUUUUCCUUCGGGACGCAGAGACAGGUGGUGCAUGGUUGUCGUCAGCUCGUGUCGUGAGAUGUUGGGUUAAGUCCCGCAACGAGCGCAACCCCUAUUGUUAGUUGCCAUCAUUCAGUUGGGCACUCUAGCGAGACUGCCGGUAAUAAACCGGAGGAAGGUGGGGAUGACGUCAAAUCAUCAUGCCCCUUAUGACCUGGGCUACACACGUGCUACAAUGGUUGGUACAACGAGUUGCGAGUCGGUGACGGCAAGCUAAUCUCUUAAAGCCAAUCUCAGUUCGGAUUGUAGGCUGCAACUCGCCUACAUGAAGUCGGAAUCGCUAGUAAUCGCGGAUCAGCACGCCGCGGUGAAUACGUUCCCGGGCCUUGUACACACCGCCCGUCACACCACGAGAGUUUGUAACACCCGAAGUCGGUGAGGUAACCUUUUGGAGCCAGCCGCCUAAGGUGGGAUAGAUGAUUGGGGUG